rnacentral:rRNA from 1 species
UACGUAGGGGGCAAGCGUUAUCCGGAUUUACUGGGUGUAAAGGGAGCGUAGACGGCGAUGCAAGCCAGAUGUGAAAGCCCGGGGCUCAACCCCGGGACUGCAUUUGGAACUGUGUGGCUGGAGUAUCGGAGAGGCAAGUGGAAUUCCUAGUGUAGCGGUGAAAUGCGUAGAUAUUAGGAGGAACACCAGUGGCGAAGGCGGCUUGCUGGACGAUGACUGACGUUGAGGCUCGAAAGCGUGGGGAGCAAACAGG